rnacentral:rRNA from 1 species
AACGAACGCUGGCGGCAUGCCUAACACAUGCAAGUCGAACGAGAUCUUCGGGUCUAGUGGCGCACGGGUGCGUAACGCGUGGGAAUCUGCCCUCAGGUUCGGAAUAACCAUUGGAAACGAUGGCUAAUACCGGAUGAUGACGUUAAGUCCAAAGAUUUAUCGCCUGAGGAUGAGCCCACGUAGGAUUAGCUAGUUGGUGUGGUAAAGGCGCACCAAGGCGACGAUCCUUAGCUGGUCUGAGAGGAUGAUCAGCCACACUGGGACUGAGACACGGCCCAGACUCCUACGGGAGGCAGCAGUGGGGAAUAUUGGACAAUGGGCGAAAGCCUGAUCCAGCAAUGCCGCGUGAGUGAUGAAGGCCUUAGGGUUGUAAAGCUCUUUUACCCGGGAUGAUAAUGACAGUACCGGGAGAAUAAGCUCCAGCUAACUCCGUG